GGGAGCAUAGCUCAGAUGGUUGAGCGCUCGCUUAGCAUGCGAGAGGUAGGGGGAUUCAUACCCCGCGCUUCCA